rnacentral:miRNA from 1 species
UUCAAGUGAGGUCAGUGCUGCU